AUGAACGCUAGCGGCAGGCCUAACACAUGCAAGUCGAGCGGAAUGAUGAAGAAGCUUGCUUCUUCUGAUUUUAGCGGCGGACGGGUGAGUAACACGUGGGCAACCUACCUUGUAGAUUGGGAUAACUCCGGGAAACCGGGGCUAAUACCGAAUAAUCCAUUUUGCUUCAUGGCGAGAUGUUGAAAGACGGUUUCGGCUGUCACUACAAGAUGGGCCCGCGGCGCAUUAGCUAGUUGGUAGGGUAAUGGCCUACCAAGGCGACGAUGCGUAGCCGACCUGAGAGGGUGAUCGGCCACACUGGGACUGAGACACGGCCCAGACUCCUACGGGAGGCAGCAGUAGGGAAUCUUCCACAAUGGACGAAAGUCUGAUGGAGCAACGUCGCGUGAGUGAAGAAGGUUUUCGGAUCGUAAAACUCUGUUGUAAGGGAAGAACACGUACGAGAGUAACUGCUCGUACCUUGACGGUACCUUAUUAGAAAGCCACGGCUAACUACGUG
rnacentral:rRNA from 1 species